GACGAACGCUGGCGGCGUGCCUAAUACAUGCAAGUAGAACGCUGAAGGAGGAGCUUGCUUCUCUGGAUGAGUUGCGAACGGGUGAGUAACGCGUAGGUAACCUGCCUGGUAGUGGGGGAUAACUAUUGGAAACGAUAGCUAAUACCGCAUAAUAGCAGUUGUUGCAUGAUAACUGUUUGAAAGGUGCAAUUGCACCGCUACCAGAUGGACCUGCGUUGUAUUAGCUAGUUGGUGGGGUAACGGCUCACCAAGGCGACGAUACAUAGCCGACCUGAGAGGGUGAUCGGCCACACUGGGACUGAGACACGGCCCAGACUCCUACGGGAGGCAGCAGUAGGGAAUCUUCGGCAAUGGACGGAAGUCUGACCGAGCAACGCCGCGUGAGUGAAGAAGGUUUUCGGAUCGUAAAGCUCUGCUGUAAGAGAAGAACGAGUGUGAGAGUGGAAAGUUCACACUGUGACGGUAUCUUACCAGAAAGGGACGGCUAACUACGUG
rnacentral:rRNA from 1 species